rnacentral:lncRNA from 1 species
UGCCAAAUUCCGCCAAAUACACAAAUAAAACCCAACCAUACAUGCCCACCAAUUAUAUCUUCUAAAUCAUCUACACUAACAAUCCACCCUUCUCCACCAAAAGGAGAUUUUAGUAAAUAACCAAAUAUAACACUGGGACUAAGGGUCAAAUUGGUAAUCACUUGCUUUCCCGGACUGGACAGCAUAAUUUUAUCAGCACUGGCGGCUCUACAAAGUCCGAAUCGAAUCUUUCGGUUGGCUUUCCCGUGAAUAAGUUGUUGGGCGCGGUGAAGCGAGCGCUUCUAGCUGUUUCGCUUGCUUCUUUCUUAUUGUGGCGGCUAUUAUGGCAUCGGGACUCAUUGAACUUCUUGCACAUAAGAUUCAAAUUAGAGUGUUGAAUUCAGAUACCGUUUUUGGGAUCGAUCUUCCGCUACUUGAGCCAUACAAAAAGAAUUGGAAAAGGCAUGACGCAAGAGCAGCGGAAGGUGACUUAGCAACAUCAGUCAUUCAAUGAGCAUUCCCCGUAGAAGUAUUCCAAAAAUCUGGGCCUGACGCUCUCCUCUAUCUUUUGUUGUGCAAAAGAAUGCACAUCAUACUAUUUGACCAUUCCAUGUUGCUUCCUUUUUCUAAUUUUUUUUGAGGAGUUGAUUAAAUAUCUCCAGGUAAUUUUUCUAUGAAUACAAUGAUAAAUCAGACAUUGCAGACCCGAUAACUUAUUUACCCAUGUCCUGGUAACUUCGGCGACCGAAGGGGGGUGGAGUUGACGAACUUUUGUGUGAUAGCAUGGUACUCACACAUCCCAGACCUGAUAACUUAUGCAUCUUAUCCCGGUAACUUUGGCAACGAGGGG